rnacentral:rRNA from 1 species
UACAGAGGUCUCAAGCGUUGUUCGGAUUCAUUGGGCGUAAAGAGCGUGUAGGCGGCCUUACAGGUCAGCUGUGAAAACUCGAGGCUCAACCUCGAGACGUCGGUUGAAACCGUAUGGCUAGAGUCCGGAAGAGGAGAGUGGAAUUCCCGGUGUAGCGGUGAAAUGCGCAGAUAUCGGGAAGAACACCCGUGGCGAAGGCGGCUCUCUGGGACGGUACUGACGCUGAGACGCGAAAGCGUGGGGAGCGAACAGG